rnacentral:rRNA from 1 species
CAAUAGCGUAUAUUUAAGUUGUUGCAGUUAAAAAGCUCGUAGUUGGAUUUCGGGUGGGACGCAGCGGUCUCGCAUUGCGUUUGUACUGCUGCAGCCCUCCUUAUUGCCGGGGGCGGCCUCUCGGACUUCACUGUCUGGGGGUCAGAAUCGGCGAUGUUACUUUGAGUAAAUUAGAGUGUUCAAAGCAAGCUUACGCUCUGAAUAUAAUAGCAUGGGAUAACACGACAGGACUCUGGCCUAUCGUGUUGGUCUAUAGGACCAGAGUAAUGAUUAAGAGGGACAGUCGGGGGCAUUCGUAUUCCGUUGUCAGAGGUGAAAUUCUUGGAUUUACGGAAGACGAACAUCUGCGAAAGCAUUUGCCAAGGAUGUUUUCAUUGA